GCUCCAAAGCUGUUAGAACACAUGGAUCUUUCAAGCUGUGAAUUUCUGUAAAUCAGACACUGCUUGAUCUCUGUCUAAAGGCAGAGACAGAGCAACGCAGCUGCUGUAGUUUGGUUAAAGGUAGGGAAAAUGCCUUUGCUUUUUCAUUUCAUCCCAUCCCACUAUUUACACUCUGUUCCAGUUGAGGUAUCUUUCAGUCUUUGUGCUGCCCCUGGAGAAGGAGAGCCUCAAGAAAUACUGGAGAAUGUGUUGAAGUGGGCCUGGAGCAAGGACACCGGAGAUGUGUCUUGGGAGAUGUCUGUGGCUGACUGAGUUCCUCUGCCAUCAAGCUGUCUUGUCGGUUUCCGAGCACGAAUGCGAGAAAUGAGAGGAUCAGGGCAUCCAAUAUUCCAAUGAUAGCCAGGAUGUACGCCCAGCGGACGGAGCAGGCCCCAAGAGUGUACUUGUCUGUCUUUUCCCCGCACAUCCGUUUUACUUCAUCUGAAUCCCAGCCAUCCGGGAAAAUCAUACAGCCGAGCACAAGACAGGCAGCUGAGAGAGAAAGACGAAAGGAGAAAUUGAGCAUUUUAUUUUACAAGAUAAGAAAACCAACGCUGAAACAGGGAAGCCCACAAAACUGCCUAGCAGAUAAGUGUGAUAUCUGCUUCCUAAAUCCGAGGUCAACCUCUGAGCUGCAACUACUCCUUCACUGCUGAGAUUUAAGGAAAAUAUAAGGACUCUGCAGCAGGAAAAAUUAUCAAGAAGUAAAUUGUAGAGCAAUAUGGCCUUCCCAAGCCUACAACACGCCAAGGUUCCCGUUCUCUCUGACACACAUAUUGGGUAAAGCUGGGAGCUGGAGGAAAAAGUGAAGAACACAGAGAAGAAAGUGGAAGAGAG